rnacentral:lncRNA from 1 species
UUAAGGAAACAAAUAUGAAUAUAGAAUAAAGAAAUAGAAAACAAAAUAAGAAAAGAAAAGGAAAAGAAAAGGACGUUAGUACUGCUCCAACCGGUACUUAAAUUGAUCUCUACCACGCAUGUCGUGGCAGACUAAUUUAGUACCGAUUGGACAGACCAACCGAUACUAAAUAACUAUCUUUACUACUAGUUAUUUUACCCGGUAGUACUGAUAUAUAUCGAAGAGGUUUGGACCAGUCCCCAGCGGUGAGUUGCUGUGUGCGCGCGUAUUCAUAAUUUUGGGACGUGAGUUUUGAAGGAAGCAGGCGCAUGGAAACCGCGUUUCGCUUUCAUCAGAUCAGAUUUGUCGCGGAAGAGGUGGCACCGGCGCAGCGCAGAUGCCCGCUGCCGGCUGCCGCUGAGCGGCGCGGCGCGCGCCCCACGAGUCACGGGCACGAUCGGGGCUUGCUAGCCAAGCCUGUGGGAGCGUCGGCGGGGCGCACGGGGAAAAAGUGCGGUGGCGCAGGGCGUGGCCGGUGGCGGUGGGUUGCCAGCCAGGGUUGGGGGCUUGGGGCUGCAAGCUCGGCUCCGCACGCGCGGCG